rnacentral:rRNA from 1 species
AUUGAACGCGUAGCGGGAUGCUUUACACAUAGCAAGUCGAACGGCAGCACGGACUUCGGUCUGGUGGCGAGUGGCGAACGGGUGAGUAAUAUAUCGGAACGUGCCUAGUAGCGGGGGAUAACUACGCGAAAGCGUGGCUAAUACCGCAUACGCCCUACGGGGGAAAGGGGGGGAUCGCAAGACCUCUCACUAUUAGAGCGGCCGAUAUCAGAUUAGCUAGUUGGUGGGGUAAGAGCCUACCAAGGCCGCGAUCUGUAGCUGGUUUGAGAGGACGACCAGCCACACUGGGACUGAGACACGGCCCAGACUCCUACGGGAGGCAGCAGUGGGGAAUUUUGGACAAUGGGGGGAACCCUGAUCCAGCCAUCCCGCGUGUGCGAUGAAGGCCUUCGGGUUGUAAAGCACUUUUGGCAGGGAAGAAACGGCGUCGGAUAAUACCUGACGUCACUGACGGUACCUGCAGAAUAAGCACCGGCUAACUACGUG